UUCAAGGAACGGGGGACCCAUUCGGGCAGGGCGCAGAUCGCGCUUACCGCCCAUGGGGCGAAUCCUGGCGAUGCUUGCGCAUCGCGAGGUAGGGCGUCUCUCGCGCCCGAGCCCGGCAGCUAACCUCGUAAGUGCAAACGAGAGA
rnacentral:sRNA from 1 species